AGUGAACGCUGGCGGUAGGCCUAACACAUGCAAGUCGAACGGCAGCACAGUAAGAGCUUGCUCUUACGGGUGGCGAGUGGCGGACGGGUGAGGAAUACAUCGGAAUCUACUUUUUCGUGGGGGAUAACGUAGGGAAACUUACGCUAAUACCGCAUACGACCUACGGGUGAAAGCAGGGGAUCUUCGGACCUUGCGCGAUUGAAUGAGCCGAUGUCGGAUUAGCUAGUUGGCGGGGUAAAGGCCCACCAAGGCGACGAUCCGUAGCUGGUCUGAGAGGAUGAUCAGCCACACUGGAACUGAGAAACGGUCCAGACUCCUACGGGAGGCAGCAGUGGGGAAUAUUGGACAAUGGGCGCAAGCCUGAUCCAGCCAUACCGCGUGGGUGAAGAAGGCCUUCGGGUUGUAAAGCCCUUUUGUUGGGAAAGAAAAGCAGAAGGUUAAUACCCCGCUGUUCUGACGGUACCAAAAGAAUAAGCACCGGCUAACUUCGUG
rnacentral:rRNA from 1 species